ACAGGUCCAUUGUAAUACAGUCUGUUUUUAAGUGAGGAGACUGAGGCACAGGAAGAUUAAGACCAUUGGUAGUUGAGGAAGCCAAGAUUUGGACCUAAGUCAUACAACCUAAUCUCCUUUUUAAACACUACAGAAUCCCUAAGCUUCUUCAAAUUACAGACAGUUGUGGUUCAAAAUAUAUCCAUGAAUUCCCUGACACCCGUUCCUUUAAGACGGAGUCUAGCUCCCUUCCUGUUGUGGUUGGGCUGGAACUUUUACUCAGCGCUAACCAAGGGAACAAAGCAGAAGUGAUGGUGCACAGCCUUGGAGAGCAGGUCACCUUGGCUUUCUCUUUGCUCUGUCUCUUGGAUCAUUUGCUCUGGGCCAGCAACGUCGCUAAGACAAUGAUGCUAAGAGGUGGAAUUCUCUUUCUCCUUCACUCCUGUCGACUGGAUGCUACCUCUGAAGAAAUCAUUUUUGCUCUGAAUUAUCUGAGCACUGGAAGAAAAGUUUAAAAGGCUGACUGAGUGAUUUCAUGUCUUAAACACUGAUAGCUAUCAAAGCAGAAAAUCUUACCUCCCCUCUUUAUAUACGGGAUUCUGUUAAGAACGGAAAAAUAUAUUUAAAAAAAUUUUUUUACAUCAGGUCAAAGAUAUCUGAGUCCAAGUGGAAAAUGAAAAUAAGUAAAAUGAAAA